CGACCUGGGACGUGCGAUUGGCUGCGGUGCGCCGCGUCGGUGCUGGCUUCGAGGUCGCGCGCCCGCCCACUUCCGGGGUCGCGCCAGGUCAGGAGUCCAGAGUCGGCUGAAGCGAGUUGCCGCGUUCUCUCUGGCGGCGCGACACCGGCCCGUGGACCGCCCGGCCGCCCUCCAGGACCCGGUCUGCAGGAGCGGAGAGGGCGGUGUGGACACCGCCUGCAGGCGAGGAGAAGGGGUGGCGGAGAGGGUACCUGGGUGCGUGGCUGUGCGGCGUCAGGAGGAGCAGGGUGUGGGCGCCCGGCCUGGGGCGUGGAGAGGACGCAGGGAACAGGUGUCUUCCUGGUAUCCAUCGAACUGAAACGUAGCCCUUGAGCACACACUACACUUAAAGCUUUACUCUUUCGAGGAGGAGUCCUGGAAGCAUAUGUGAUUUUGUGACUAUAGCAUGGUGUGGUGUCAGUAACAGGCCCUGGAUUGCUCAAACUCUAUUGUCAGUGACAAAACCCAGUCAACCCAAAGAGCUGGCGGCGUCAUUCCCAUUUUACAAAUGCGAACACGGGCUCAGAGAUGGAGCGACUCACGUUGUAAGCGAUGGAACUGGGAUUUGAAAACACUGUAUCCCGCCUGGCAGAAAACUGGCAAGGUUAGGAUGGAGAAAGGAGAAAAA
rnacentral:lncRNA from 10 species